AACGCACCUUGCACCCUUUGGUUUUCCAAUGGGUAUGCCUGUUUGAGUAUCAUGAAACUAUCAAGAACCUUGUUUUAUUACAAGCGUCUUGGAAUUGGAUGUUUGUCUGCUGGAGGCUCUCUCUCCGGCUCAUCCGAAAUAUAUUAGCUGGAUCCAUUAUACCACUUGGUUCUUACUCGGCGUGAUAAUUGUCAUUCGCUGAGGACACCUUCGGGUGGCCAGGUACAAUAAUCCGAUCUGCUUCUAAUUGUCUCUGACGAGACUAUUAUUUUUAUGAAUCUGAUCUCAAAUCAGGUAGGACUACCCGCUGAACUUAA
rnacentral:misc_RNA from 1 species